GACGAACCGUCCAAACGUUAUUCGGAAUCACUGGGCUUACAGAGUUCGUAGGCGGUCCGGAAAGUUGGGUGUGAAAUCCCUCGGCUCAACCGAGGAACUGCGCUCAAAACUACCCGACUCGAGGGAGAUAGAGGAAAGCGGAACUGAUGGUGGAGCGGUGAAAUGCGUUGAUAUCAUCAGGAACACCGGUGGCGAAGGCGGCUUUCUGGGUCUUACCUGACGCUGAGGAACGAAAGCUAGGGGAGCGAACGGG
rnacentral:rRNA from 1 species